CCCUAUGACUAUAUUAGGUGACACAAAACUGCUCAUCGCUCCUGUCAUCGGGGCCCCUGGCCCAAUGGCAGGCUGAGUCCCCCUCCUCUAGCCUGGUCCCGCCUCUGCUGCCCCUUGUGCUCCGCACUACCUGCCGCCUGGCCACAACCCGAGCUGGAAGGCGGGUGCGCGAGCAGGCGACGGGCACCAUGCAGAGAGGCUGCCAAAGGCCGUGGGCAGCGCUGCUCUCUGCCGCCCACCUGGCGCUGUGAGAAGCGCGCUGCCACCAUGUUCCCCAGCCCCGCGCUCACGCCCACGCCGUUCUCGGUCAAAGACAUCCUGAACCUGGAGCAGCAGCAGCGCAGCCUGGCUGCUGGGGAGCUCUCCGCGCGCCUGGAGGCCACGCUGGCGCCCGCCUCCUGCAUGCUGGCCGCCUUCAAGCCCGAGGCCUACGCGGGGCCGGAGGCCGCAGCGCCCGCCCUCCCAGAGCUGCGCGGCGAGCUGGGCCCCGCGCCCUCGCCCGCCAAGUGUGCUCCUGCCUUUCCAGGAGCCCCCGCUUUCUAUCCGCGUGCCUAUGGCGACCCUGACCCCACCAAGGACCCUCGAGCUGAUAAGAAAGGUGAGGAGGAAACAUCAGCCCCUUCUCCCUCCUGGGGCCGCUUUGUGUCCCCAACCGCCACUGAGAAAUUCUAGCCUGGGUGGAGGAGACGUGAGUGCCUGGGCAGAGGGCCGAACUCAGGGGGCUCCGAGUGUGAGAAGCGAGGUCGUCGCCAGGGCCCCUGAGCCCCGCGUCCAAUCGGAGGUUUAGAGGAAAUGCUGGAUUGAGACGAUCAGAAACAAGAGACAAAAGAAAUAUAAUAUUUUUUUUUGGCCUAACAAAGCGCAGGAAGCAGCAGCCUUGCUCAAUGAAGUUAGCGAUCGGUUUGUAGUAGAACAGAGAACGAAAUAUUCUCAAUAUCAGGGUUUUGGGGUUUUUAAAAAUCUCUUUUGGAUUUAAGGGUCUUUUUCAGGAUCUGCCAAAAAUAGCUAAACAGGAGUAAAAAUGCUGCACACCAGAUAGGCUUUUGUUCACAAUUGGAGAAGAGUCCAGGACCUUCUAUAUCCUACCCGUAACCCGGGUUUCUGGGGCUUUUUCUCCUUUGUGCCAGGGCAGUGGAAUCUUUGGGUACAAAGGCCUUGAUUUAAAAAUUAGAUACUGCAGUCUCUCGGGAAACUGAUUCGCAGCUUUACCCCCCCCCCGCCCCUACCCCCCCCCCCCGUACCGUUUCCCGACGCUACCAGGGUCGAGGGGUUCUCUUCUGGAAGAAGUUAGAAAAUGCUGCGGGACUCAAGGCGCGAGGCAAUGAAGAAGAGGGCCUUGGAAGCUGGCGGGAUCGCCGCACAAUCCAGCCCCGGGUCGGGAGAGGGGAAAGGCCGGCGGUGCCACGGAAAGGGACACGUUGGGAAGAACUUGUCCAAACACAGGGUCCGCGCUAAUCCGAGGUGGCAGGGUGCGCUGGGCAAAGGGCCGUGGUGCACUGAGAAGGGAUCUUUCUAGCCUAGAAAUGUUCGUCUAGGAGCAGAGGGAAGGGCCGGGGCAGCUGCUGGCGGGUCAAUUCAAUUGACCGCUACCAAUUGGAAACCCACUCGAGUAGGCGGGCAGGGCAGGAUCCGAGGCUGCCUACCCACCCGCGGCUUCAUGGGGGCUGGACAAACCUCGUGGCGGCACGGGAGUCUUCGAUCAGCAAACCAACACCUCUUCUCCUUCUGUGUCUUUGCGGUUCCAUAAUUUUGAGACAGUGUGACUGAUCCUGGAGUGAGGCCUCGGUCUCCCUUCAUUUAAAUUCUCAAACCACUCUAGCUCUAAUCUAAUUCUCCCGGGCAUCAUCCGGUUUUAUUUUCUUUGCAGCCUGAAAUCUUAAGUCACUGUCCAUCUCCCUCACCAGAACGUGAACUCCCCGAGGGCACGGACCUUUCUUGUGUUAUGUUCUCCACUGCCUAGAGACAUGCUUGGAAUAUAGUAAACAUUCAACAAAUGCUGACUAGCUGUGCUCACUGCAGAAGGCGGUGGAGCUGGAGAAGCCGGAAGCCGACGGCGCAGAGCGACCCCGGGCGCGACGGCGGAGGAA